rnacentral:rRNA from 1 species
AACGAACGCUGGCGGCAUGCCUAACACAUGCAAGUCGAACGAGAUCUUCGGGUCUAGUGGCGCACGGGUGCGUAACGCGUGGGAAUCUGCCCUUUGGUUCGGAAUAACGGUUGGAAACGACUGCUAAUACCGGAUGAUGACGAAAGUCCAAAGAUUUAUCGCCAGAGGAUGAGCCCGCGUAGGAUUAGCUAGUUGGUGUGGUAAAGGCGCACCAAGGCGACGAUCCUUAGCUGGUCUGAGAGGAUGAUCAGCCACACUGGGACUGAGACACGGCCCAGACUCCUACGGGGGGCAGCAGUGGGGAAUAUUGGACUAUGGGCGAAAGCCUGAUCCAGCAAUGCCGCGUGAGUGAUGAAGGCCUUAGGGUUGUAAAGCUCUUUUACCCGGGAUGAUAAUGACAGUACCGGGAGAAUAAGCUCCGGCUAACUCCGUGCCAGCCGCCGCCGUAA